rnacentral:tRNA from 1 species
GAGGGCACAGCUCAGUGGUGGAGUGCGUGCUUAGCAUGCACAAGGUCCUGGGUUCAAUCUCCAGUACCUCCA